AAGGAGAAAGAAGGGAUGGAACAGGAUAGCAAGGCCACAUGAAAGCCUUGGGAUCUCCAAGGGUCUCUGGCCCUAGACCUUCAGACCCCACUCAUCCAACACACUCAGGACUUGUGAGUUGGGACUACUCUCCCUUAUCUCCACAUCCUUGUCCUCACAUCAUAGACCCAUAUGGGCCAGUAUGCUCAGGGCCCUGUCAGAUUGUCCCAAAGUGAGGAA